UGAGCAAUAACAUGAGUGAGGACCUUAGAUAACACAGAUGACAGGGGUAUACAAUAACCAAUUAACACAGGUGAACGGCGUUAAGAAAACCAGACUCAGAGAACACGGGAAGUUAAGUGGCCAUCUGGUAGCCCACCCCGGAAACAGCAGCUAUAUUCCUGACAGCGCUACGUCACACGAUGACCGACUGUUUGGAGAUCGCAGCUGGUUAUACCCCUUCUCGCCAGCAGAGCCCGCCAGUGAACGCUGCGGCCGGACUGAAACUGUAACCUGAUCCUGCCCGAGGCCCCGCCCCCGCGGCCCCGCCCCCGAG